rnacentral:rRNA from 1 species
UACGUAGGGGGCAAGCGUUGUCCGGAAUUAUUGGGCGUAAAGCGCGCGCAGGCGGUUGUUUAAGUCUGGUGUUUAAUGUCGGGGCUUAACCCCGAUACGCACUGGAAACUGGGCGACUGGAGUGCAGAAGAGGAGAGUGGAAUUCCACGUGUAGCGGUGAAAUGCGUAGAUAUGUGGAGGAACACCAGUGGCGAAGGCGACUCUCUGGUCUGUAACUGACGCUGAGGCGCGAAAGCGUGGGGAGCAAACAGG